UUCCCUCUCCUGAUGGAUUAUUAUUAUUAUUAUUAUUAUUAUUAUUAUUACUACUACUACUACUACUACUACUCUCCAGUGUCUAGUCGCCCAACACAUCCCCUCUCCUGAUGGUUUAUUAUUAUUAUUAUUAUUAUUACUACUACUACUACUACUACUACUACUCUCCAGUGCCUGGUCGCUCAGCACAUUCCCUCUCCUGAUGCAUUAUUAUUAUUAUUAUUACUAUUUCUCUCCAGUGUCUGGUCGCCCAACACAUUCUCUCUUCUGUUUUUUUUUAUUACUACUACUACUACUACUACUACUCAUAUACUACACUUCCUCUCCUGCUGAUUUUUAAAUAAUAAUAAUAAUAAUAAUUACUACUACUACUCAUACACUACUGCUACUACUACUACUCUCCAGUGUGAGGUUGCCCAACACAUUCCCUCUUCUGCUGGUUUUUAAAAUUAUUAUUACUUCUAGUACUACGACUACAACUACUCUACUACUACUCCUCCUCUCCAGUGUCUGGUUGUCCAACACCUUCCCUCUCCUACUGGUUUUUAAAAUAAUAAUAAUAAUAAUAACAAUAACAAUGACUACUAAUAAUAACAAUAAUAAUAAUGGCUACUACUAUUAUUAUCUUACACAAGACUCACAGCAUCAGACCUGGAGGUUGAGUGGCUUGGGGCUGACUCUUCACCCGUCAUGCCUUCCUGCCCUUUUAUGACUGUGAUGCCUGGCCAAGAAUAUGGAGUGAUCGGGCAUUUGGAACCCAUCUCUUCCUGUCUUAGCUGCUGGUGCUGCUCAGCAGUCUCACAGCCACAUUACGGCAACCCUAAAGUGAAAUCUUAUCACAAUUUUCCUGGAAAGAUUUGUUCAGAAGCUUUGCCUCACAACCUCUGAGGAUGCCUGCCAUGGAUGUGGGCAAAACGUCAGGAGAGAAGGCUUCUGGGACAUGGACAAACACUCACAGCAACCUAUUGUUGUCCGGUGACGGUAAUGGGGACACCAUUGCUUGCAAUGGACUGAAAAAAGGAGCCUAACAAGAUAGCCAGGAGAACAAGACCCUAAGAAUUGCGCAUUCGUCCCCAUGCUCUUCUCGGAGCAUGAUCAGCAUGUGGUUUGGUCUUUGGCGCAUCGGCGGGCAGUGUUUGCUUGACUCCUGGGAAGUGGAGCACUGUUGCCGCGGCCUCGGAGCAGCUGCCAACCACGAGGCCGCGUCCUGCCGGGUUUUUUUGCGGCCCCGGUCUCUCCCGCCACGGCUGCCACGCAGGGAUGGAUAACCUCCUAAUCAAUUCCUCCCGGAUAACACGGCGCGGUGACACAGAUAACGUCAGCCGCAGAUGCCGCCUGCCCUUGCGCUGCGCCGCGAGUCAGCCGCCCUUUGUUGGUGUUAACCAGCCGCCGGGCGGAGAGGGGAUUUCAAAUGGGACCCCCGGGUCAGCGGGCAGGCGGGUUAAUCCGUGUGCGCGGCUCUUAAUCCGGCGAGGAGGCCGGAAAGACGCUGAUGGCUCCGUUGCUUUUCCAUUGGACUCUUAUUUCAUAAUGCACAACCAGGAAGGCCAGGUUGGAUACCAAGUGCAUUUCUCUUGUGCUUGGAAGCAUUAGAGUUGCAUAGUGGGCAUCACCAGUGAGACCCUGUUGUCGCAUUCUGUGUGACUCUAACUAUGCAUCUACACUGUAGAAUUAGUGCAGUUUGGCACCGCUUUGCCUGCCCAAUGCUCAAUGCUAUGGGAUCCUGAGUUGUGGGUUGGUAAGGUGUGCCAAUGCUCUUUGUCAGAGAAGGCUAAAUACCUUCCUAAAUACCUUGUUUACAUAUGUAUUUUUUAUUUUCUUCACUGUUUGUUCUUUGGGCCUGGCCCCAUGUUAGCCGCCCCGAGUCUCUGUGGGGAGAUGGAGGCAGGAUAGAAAAAUAAAGUAUUAUUAUUAUUAUUAUUAUUAUUAUUAUUAUUAUUAUUAUUAUUAUUAUUAUUGACACAAAGACUCAGUAUAACACAGCGAACAAGAUAGAUAUGCUGGAUUUCGUAUCACAAAAUCACAAGUCGAACAUUUCCCAAGCCUUUAGGACUGUGUGAUGUAUUUUCGGAUGGUGCGUAGAUUAUUAUUAUUAUUAUUAUUAUUAUUAUUAUUAUUAUUAUUAUUAUUAUUAGGAAGAACUUCCUGACUGAACAUUAGGAAGAGCUUCCUGACUGUAAGAGCUGUUCAACAGUGGAACUCUCUGCCUUGGAGUGUGGUGGAAGCUCCUUCCUUGGAGGCUUUUAAACAGUGUCUGAAUGGGCAUCUGUCAGGGGUGCUUUGAAACCAGUGCAGGUGGUCCCGGUGGUGAUGGGCACACUGGGUGCCAUGCCAAAAGAUCUCAGCCGGCAUUUGGAAACAAUAGACAUUGACAAAAUUAUGAUCUGCCAGCUGCAAAAGGCCACCCGACUGGGAUCUGCGACCAUCAUCUGAAAAUACAUCACACAAUCCUAGACACUUGGGAAGUGUUCGACUUGCGAUUUUGUGAUACAAAAUCCAGCAUGUCUAUCUUGUUUGCUGUGUCAUAGUAAAAUAAUGAUUAUGAUGAUGAUGAUAAUUGUUGUUAUUAUUAUUAUGGCUGGCUGUUGGACUAGAUGGCGCAGUAGGUUUCUUCCAAUUCUAUUAUUCAAUGAUUCUAUGCUUGAACUCCUAGGAUUCCAUAACAUUGAGCUAUGGCAGCUAAAUGGACCCAAACUGCAUUAAUGAUACCGUGUGGAUCCACCCUAAGACAAGGUGACUGUGAAGGGUCCACCUGCUCUGCUUUUGGGCUCUUUGGACUCCAUGCGCCAUAGGUUGCCAUGUCUCUAAGAACGGAAUAAUGUUCCAAAGAUCUCCUCUGCUUUCGGUUGUUUACUUUGGGGUCUUUUGCAUUUGUGACAUCAGGUGAAGUAUUUUCCUUCAUGAAACAGUCCCUGUUUGAAGAGAGUUGUGUGAGUGUGCCUUUGAAGAGUGCUAUAGAAAUGGAAGAGAAGUCUUUCACCAAGGUGUCGAGGUUGCUUUGGCGCAUAGGCAACGAAUCCCCGGAUGCUCCCGAUGUCUCUUGUAUCAUGAUCCAGUCGACUCCUCAACUCUUUUCUUACAGGCAACUAAAAUGUGCACAUAUAGAUAUUUGGAAAAAGGUAGUGAAGUGGGACAUGCAAGCCUUCCCAGAUGAUGUUGAUAUGUGUGUAUUCCUAUAUGCAGCCCCUCAACUCGAAUUGUAGUGGGAGGAUUCUUUCAAUUGGACUAGAUGACCUCCAUGGUUACCUAGAAGGAUCUCCUAGAAUUCAAAAGUACUAGAAAGUUUUAGCAGCUUUCCAGGACACCCAAUGUUUACAGAUUUACCUGCCAAAUGCUUCCUAAACAUCAAAAGGAGUUUCACCGGGUGCCUCCUCCCUGGCUCAGGAAUGCGCUUAUUGCUCUUGGAAUCUGUGCCUUGCGCAUGAAUGUAUGCGGAGCAAUUAAGUCUUAAUUUAUGGUAAUCCUGUGAGUGGAAGGGCAGGAUGGAGUCAAGUCUGGCAGGCACCUGUUUCCCCCUCGCUCCCUCCUCGUCUCCGGAUUUCACCGCAGCUCAGUGGAGGGUGAGCAAGGAAUCGUGAUGAUGGGAAGGCACCACAACACACCUGGACCCUGUAUCAAUUGGGUUACGUUCCUAGUCUUCCUGUGAAUAUGGGAAGCCAUGGAUCACAGCGAGCCUUAUUGACAUGAGGGACUUCUCUUGGCCCAAGAGUGCUAUUUGCAGACUCAGAAUGGCUUUGUUGCCACCCAGCCUCUGUUUCAAAGCCUCCCAAGGAAGGAGUUUCCACCACGCUUGCACCAGGCUUCGCUGCUAGACAAGUCGAAUCCACUCUCUACGGCUCUGUAGGAAAGGACUCUUAAGCACCUCACCAAGCUACAAAUCUCGCCAGUCGUGUUGGACUACUGAACCCAUCAUCUCAAGCCACGACGGUCAUGUGAGAGCUGGCAUGGGUGACUACAGAGCCCAUCAUCUCAAGUCACAAUGGUUAUGGGAGAGCUGGCAUAGGUGACUAUACAGCCCAUCAUCUCAAUCCACGACAAUCAUGGGAGAGCUGGCCUAGGUGACUUCAGAGCCCAUUGUCUCAAUCCAUGGCGGUUGUGUGAGAGCUGGCAUAGGUGACUACAGAGCCCAUCAUCUCAAACCAUGGUGGUCGUAGGAGAGCUGGCAUAGGGCAGAAAUGACUCGAAGAUACCCAGCUCUUGUAUCUAUUUAUCUACCUAUCUAUAUCCUCCAUCCAUUUCUCUUAUCUAUACCUAAUAUAUCUAUACCUUAUAUACAGACAUGAAAGCGUUAUGUCUCCCCUGGAACUAUUGCUUCCCAUGGAGGUGUAUGUGUAGGUUUUUGGAUCACUUUCAUUGCCUUCCUGGAUCAGGAAGUUGAGUCGCAACUACAACAAAAGAAAUUCUUGCCUUAGAAGGAAGGAGGGUCAAGGUUUGGGUCUGGUCUCCUUCCUUUUUAUCCCUUCCCCUUUUCCGGGCAAAUAAUAGCCUCGCAAAGGCUAAUCGGAGGAACGUGUUGUACUCUUGGGCCUCCAGAUCCAGAGAGAGAGCAAACUGCGGCUGCCCUUUGUAGCAUCAUGACCGGGGAGUGCCAAUUUGAAUGCCUGAGCCUGCUUUUGUCUGGCGAGGCUUAGUUAUUACUCUGGAAAAUAGAGCUCCUCUGAUUCCUUCCUUCCAAGCAGGCAAAUUAGACACCCUGGCAGUUUCAGGAAGGCAGGGAAAGGGAGGAGGGAGUCCUUUAUCUCCCGCACAGCAGGUUGCCUUUUCCUGAGCUUCUGGUUGCUAAAUUCAGCCAGAGAUUGGGUCAGCGGGAGGACGGCGGGCGGCAGUAAUAGCGGCUCUGUGUGCCUGUCGGUCAUGGAUGCAUCCGCAGUGAAAUGCUCUCUUUCCAAAGGUGGCAAAUAGCAGCACUUAAUGGGAACUGGGGCUCACUGGGAUUCGGCUUGUUGCUGUUGUUGUUUUUAGUGUGCCAGGGCCUGGCUUCAAAACAGGUCAAGAAAACCAGCGUUUUCUAAGUGCCGUGUCGCACCCCAGACCAUGACCAGAGCAUCACACUCCUUGUAGUCGAAAGUACUAAAGGCAAACAGUUUAUUGUGAAAACACACAAAAGAUUUAUAGUAGCAAGCAUGGAUCAGGAAGGAAAGUGUCGAAUCCAAAAAGUCAGCCAUCAAAUGUCUCUUGUAAAUCCAAAAGCAAGGCAGUUCCAGAGUAGGGUUGUUGUGUGUUUUCCGGGCUGUAUGGCCAUGUUCUAGAAGUAUGUUUCGCCCACAUCUAUGGCAGGCAUCCUCAGAGGUUGUGAGGUAUGGAGUUCCAGAAUAGUCCCAAAAUCCAAAAGCAACAUGAGUCUAUAAGCAAAACUUGAACAAAAGUACACAACAUGAACAUGGAGACACUUUCAGAAUACUUGAAUCCCAAAACCAAGAUGAGAACUAGAGAACUCAGGCCUGGUCAUAACUUGAAAGCAUGUUGCCUGAACUGAAGAGCAAAGUGCCCGUUAUCUCCUAAUAUACAGAUCUGAAAACAUUACAUCUUGUCAGAAAUAUUAGAACAUAGAAACACUCCCAGAAUACUUGAAUCCCAAAACCAAGACGAGAACUAGACAACCCAGGCCCUAACUGUAACUUGAAAGCCACGUUGCCUGAACUGAAGAGCAAAGAGCCCAUUCGGUCCUAAUAUACAGACAUGAAAGCGUUAUGUCUCCCCUGGAACUUUUGCUUCUCACAGAAGUGUGUUGACCUACGAUGCUGGCUAUCUUCUCAAAUUUGCAGGCAAGCCAAUGAUCUGGCUUGGGUCAAUGUCAUCAGGUGCAUUCCCAUGAGACUCCUUAUCUGGAGAGGAUGAUUCCAUCACCCAUGAUUGGCCUUGAAGGCUUUGAAGUUCAGAGACAAUUACAUUCUCCGGUCUCAGGCCUGUCUCUAUGUUUAAAGCAGUUUGAGGAUGAAAACCAGGGCCUGCAUCAGAAUGAAUCCCAGGAAAGCCCACAAUCCCACCUGACUAAAUAAUCAGUGAACCCAUCAUCCCCUGCCUGCUGUGACUGCUGCUGGGCUACAGCAUGGUGGAUCUCUAACACUACUCCUUCGGGUAUUUUGGACCUCAGCUUCCAGAUGAUGGAGUCAAAACAUGGGAGUUAAAAUCCAAAAUACUUGGAGAGCCAUUGCUUGGAAUCCCUCUGAUGGCACCUCUUUCUUCCUACAUUCUUGAGAUGAACAACCACUGUCGAAAAAAUAAAUCUGAAGAAGACCAAGACUUUGACUUUGAGACGUGGUUAAGACCAUUGCAAUGAUCACUGAAUGCCAAAGAAUCAACCACGGCGUCGUGCUUCUGUUAAUUUAUGUAGGGAUUCGAAAGUUGGAUAGUGAAGAAAGCUAAAGGAGGGAUCAACUCUUUGGAGAUGGGUUCUACACAUACCACGGAUGGCCAAACAAGGUAGAUACAGUAUGACCCUCUGUUAUGUAUGGAGGAUACUUUUCAGGAUUUCCCAUAGAUACACAAAACUGGUGAAUCCUAUUGAACGAACUGCUCAUGUCAAAAGAAAUACCUAGAGAAGAUUUCUCAGAAGGCUUUGCAAGAUCCUUCAAUUUCUGGUGGAAGCCUACCAUGGAUAGAUUUACAUGGAGGACCUGGAAAAUGUCUACAGAAGAUAUAUUUUGUCAAGUAAAUCCAGGGACCGUACUGUAAGUGGAUCCAAGAGCAAAACUUCCAAGAAAAUGGCUAAACUUAGGUGAAAACAUGAGGAAAAGUGGAAUAUGGAUAGAUUGGAUCAAGGAAGCCAUCGGGGUGCUAACUGUUGAAGUGGGAAUGAUUGUAUAUAGAGUUGUUUAAAUGUAAUUGAGUCAUGGUGGUGCAAUGUGUGCUGGAGAUUGCAUCAUACACUGUGUGCUGCUUACUAUGCAAGUGUGUAAAGGGUUAAACUUGGAUUGCAUCAGACAGCAGAGGAUGAGAUAAAUAGCCCUCUACUUCCUAUCUCUGUCCUUCCCGUGUGUGUCUGCGUGAGAGCUGUGUAUCGUCUUGUGAGAUUUCCAUUUGUAAGUAAACUUUUGAUACAUAACUGAAGACUACAGCGUCGCCAUUUAUCCAGAGCUUCCUCGUCAGCGACUUCUGCUGCGUUUGUGCCUAGCAAAGGCACUCUGAUAUUGGGUUAUGGGCCCAGUACGCUUCCACUGCUAACUAACAAGGAGGUCUCCCAUCCAUAGGAUCCCUAUGGAUUGACUUGGUGGCACAUGAAAAGAACAUGGCACAGUAUGUUUUCCAUUCUCAAGUUGGGCAUACCGUGUUCAGGCGUGCUCCAGAGGAUUCUGGGAGUUGUAGUCCCAGGUGGCGUGCCCGUUGUCUGUGGCUUUGGGUGCUCCUCCUCCUCCUCCUCCAGUCCCUCUUCGUUUCCCUCUGCGGUUUGGUCUCUCGGCCAGUUUGUCAUUUAGCCGCUUGGAGCCAGCGCAAAUAGUGACAUUUGCCGAGCGUAAAAAUUCAAUUAAUUCCAGAAGGCAGAUUAAAUAUAAGUGAAUUUUAAUAAUUUGCUCUAAAGGCUGAGGAUUACUGUAGGCGAAAGAGAGGAAAUGACACUCGUGCGGUGCGGUGGGUAUUUCUUCUUCUUCUUCUUCCUUGGCACAAGUAUGUGGGAUCGCUGGCCAAAUAUAAUUAAUCUUGUUAAUUCUUUGCUUGAGGGGAGGAGAAGAGCUUGGAUGGGUUGGGGCCCCCGGUCCUUUAAUUUUUGGAACUGGAGUCUUGGGGUGCAUCUACAUUGCAGAACUAAUGCAGGUUGACACUCUUUUGUAGGGCUGUGAAAUCCUGGGAGUUGUAGUUUCACAAGGUCUUUUACAGGGCUAUGGAGUCCUGGGUGUUGUAGUUUCACAAGGUCUUUUACAAGGCUAUGGAGUCCUGGGAGUUGUAGUUUCACAAGGUCUUUUACAGGGCUAUGGAGUCCUGGGAGUUGUAGUUUCACAAGGUCUUUUACAAGGCUAUGGAGUCCUGGGAGUUAUAGUUUCACAAGGUCUUUUACAAGGCUAUGGAGUCCUGGGAGUUGUAGUUUCACAAGGUCUUUUACAGGGCUAUGGAGUCCUGGGAGUUAUAGUUUCACAAGGUCUUUUACAGGGCUAUGGAGUCCUGGGAGUUGUAGUUUCACAAGGUCUUUUUCAGGGCUAUGGAGUCCUGGGAGUUGUAGUUUCACAAGGUCUUUUACAAGGCUAUGGAGUCCUGGGAGUUAUAGUUUCACAAGGUCUUUUACAGGGCUAUGGAGUCCUGGGAGUUGUAGUUUCACAAGGUCUUUUACAAGGCUAUGGAGUCCUGGGAGUUAUAGUUUCACAAGGUCUUUUACAAGGCUAUGGAGUCCUGGGAGUUGUAGUUUCACAAGGUCUUUUACAGGGCUAUUGAGUCCUGGGAGUUAUAGUUUCACAAGGUCUUUUACAGGGCUAUGGAGUCCUGGGAGUUGUAGUUUCACAAGGUCUUUUUCAGGGCUAUGGAGUCCUGGGAGUUGUAGUUUCACAAGGUAUUUUACAGAGCUAUGGAGUCCUGGGAGUUGUAGUUUCACAAGGUCUUUUAGAGGGCUAUGGAGUCCUAAGAGUUAUAGUUUCACAAGGUAUUUUACAGAGCUAUGGAGUCCUGGGAGUUGUAGUUUCACAAGGUCUUUAACCUUCACUUCCAGAGUGUUGAUGCUUUGCUGGCACCACCCAUGUGCCAAUGCAUGGAGGGCGCAUGCAUGUGCUGCUGGUGGCCUUGUUGCUUCUAAUUAUUCCAUGCGCGUGUUUCCGUAAUUUGCACUUUCCAGCGACGGAGUCAUCAAUAAUGGAUGCGCUACCUGCGCUACCUGUCUCUUCCCGGUGAGGGUUGACGGGGAGAUUUAAGCGGGGAGCGAGCGGCGCACUUGGCGUUCACGCACCCACAUCUCUUCAAGGCGUGACGCUUUCCCGUGCGCCACCUGCUCUUUUCUGCCGCCCGAGGACUGCCUUUGGUUCCCGUCCUUGACUUCUGCGCCUUGUUAGUGUGUUCAAAGCUGAGACAUAAAACCUUGGGACGUCAAUCCAUCUUGCUCACUUGCGCCUGCUCCAUAUGCCGCUCUUUUGUUCAGAAAGCAGCUUGGUUCUGUUUCAAGCAGAUGCAAGGGAGGCCUUGGGUACAUCUGCACCAUGGAGUGGAUGCAGUUUGACACCACUUUCAGUGCUAUGGAAAGCCCAUCAUAUUGUAAUUAUAGCAUUGGACUCUCCAGACCAGAUUUCGAAUCCCUGCUUGUCCAUGAGACCCAUUGGGUGCGCUUGGGCAGGUCACACACUCUCAGCCUCAGAGGAAGGCAGUGACAAACCACAUCUGGGGGUUGGUGCUCAUCUCCAUUUACAAGAAAAAGAGCCGGCGUUGUCUAUAGACACCUCCAAGGUCAUGUGGCCAUAGGCAUGACUGCAUGGAGUGCAGUUACCUUCCCGCCCAUAGGAGCAGUACCUAUUGAUCUACUUCCAUUUGUAUGUUUUUGGACUGCUAGGUUGACAGAAGCUGGGGCUAACAGCGGGUUCGAACUGCCGAGCUUUUAGUCAGCAAGUUCUGCAGCUCAGUGAUUUAAUGUGCUGUGCCACUGGGGGCUCCUCUAUUAUUAUUAUUCAAUAAUAAUAAUAAUAUUUGAUGAUGAUAACAUCUUCUCUGGAUUUUUUCAAUCAAAGGCCGGGUGGCUACCUGGCAGAAGGGGGUUGGAUUGCGUGGGCCUUGGGAAUCCUUUUAGGAUUCAAUAAUAACUUCAAAGACUCUGGCAGAAACCAGUACAGGUGGUCCCGGUGGUGAUGGGCACAUUGGGUGUCGUGCCAAAAGAUCUCAGCCGGCAUUUGGAAACAAUAGACGUUGACAAAAUUACGAUCUGCCAGCUGCAAAAGGCCACCCGACUGGGAUCUGCGCACAUCAUCCAAAAAUACAGUAGAGUCUCACUAAUCCAAGCCUCGCUAAUCCAAGCCUCUGGAUAAUCCAAGCCAUUUUUGUAGUCAAUGUUUGCAAUAUAUCGCGAUAUUUUGGUGCUAAAUUCGUAAACACAGUAAUUACAACAUAGCAUUACUGCGUAUCGAACUACUUUUUCUGUCAAAUUUGUUGUAUAACAUGAUGUUUUGGUGCUUAAUUUGUAAAAUCAGAACCUAAUUUGAUGUUUAAUAGGCUUUUCCUUAAUCCUUCCUUAAAAUCCAAGAUAUUCGCUUAUCCAAGCUUUUGGUGGCCCGUUUAGCUUGGAUAAGUGAGACUCUACUGUACAUCACACAGUCCUAGACACUUGGGAAGUGUUCGACUUGUGAUUUUGUGAUAUGAAAUACAGCAUAUCUAUUUUGUUUGCUGUGUCAGACUAUGUCGUUGUGUCAAUAAUAAUAAUAAUAAUAAUGACAGUAACCUUUGAUGAAAUUUUCAAUUAUUAUUAUUAUUAUUAUUAUUAUUAUUAUUAUUAUUAUUAUUAUUAUUAUUACAACAAUAAUAUUGCCUAAAUGAACCAAUAUUUGAUGGGGGUUUUAAAAUAUUUUAAAUCUGGGGUUGUUGUAUGUCUUUUGGGCUGUGUGGCCAUGUUUCAGAAGUAUCCUCUCCUGAUGUUUCGCCCACAUCUAUGGCAGGCAUCCUCAGAGGUUGUGAGGCAUGGAGAAACAACCUCUGAGGAUGCCUGCCAUAGAUGUGGGUGAAACGUCAGGAGAGAAUACUUCUGGAACAUGGCCACACAGCCCAAAAGACAUACAACAACCCUGUGAUCCCGGCCAUGAAAGCCUUCGACAACAUAUUUUAAAUCUAUUUCAAUCUAUUGACUGUUUGACUGUGUUUCUACGUUUAGAUGUCAAUCACGUUUAUGUAGGUUAUUACGGUUUUUAUAGAUAGGAUUAUGUUUAGGAUGCACAAUCGUUUUGCUUCUUACAUGUUGUGCGCCGCUCUGAGCCCCAAUCCGGGAGAGAAGUGGGAUAGAAAUAGGGUUGUUGUAUGUCUUUCGGACUGUGUGGCCAUGUUCCAGAAGUAUUCUCUCCUGAUGUUUCGCCCACAUCUCUGAAACCUCAGAAGAGAAUACUUCUGGAACAUGGCCACACAGCCAUAAAGACAUACAACAACCCUGUGAUCCCAGCCAUGAAAGCUUUCGACAACACACGGGAUAGAAAUAAAUAAUAAUAAUAAUAUUUGAUGAUGGUGGUGGAUUGUCUUUUCCAAGCCUGUGAUCUCUUUGCCGCCCCGUUGGUUUCCUCUGGGAUACCGUUUAACGUGGCAAGGAUUUCGCAAGCCUUUCCUUGUUCUCUAGGAACAAAAAUGGCAAGGGUUUCCUAUGCGUAAGGGAGACGCUUGCACCGGACGGCACCUCGUCGCAGCCGCCCGUCCACCUGCUAUCUGUCGAGAGGGAUCCGGAGUGUCCUCCGCCGAUAACAAAUGGGUUGGAGCCUCCUCGGUCCAGCCAAGGCUCCGUGCCAGCUCAGCUUGUAAUCGGCCGAGGCGCCUUCCAAGCGGCGGACAGCGUGCCAAGCGCUUACCAUCCUGCUUGGCCCUGCGUCGCCUGCCCGGAUCACCAACCUGCCCAUCAAUAAACCGGCUCUUGGCCCCGGCGAGCGUUACCCUGGCGACGGGGAAAGGUCGGCUCCAAAUUGUGCUGCGUGGAAACCAGAAAUCGUCUUCUUUCUCUCUGUAUUUCGGUGCCUGAUUGGCCUCCCAGCUUGUUUUCUUGGCUGGCUGCUCUAGACUCACCGGUUCCUUUUGGGGAUUGUGCAGGGAAGAUGUGUACGGCUGAGAUGUGUUGACGUUUGGACGAUUUGAAAUGCAUCUCGAGCAGGCCUGGGCUAACUUCUGCCCUCUGGGGGUUUGGACUGCAACUCCCACAAUUCCUAACAGUCGGUCACUGAAGAUGUGGAGAGUGCUGCAGUCAUUGCAGCAAGACGGAGAUAAACAUGUCACUAAACGUGUGGAAAGUUCUGCAGGUGUUGCAGCAAGACUGAGUUGAACAUGUCACUGAGCAUGUGGAGAGUUCUGCAGUCAUUGCAGCAAGACAGAGUGAAACGUGUUACUGAACAUGUGGAGAGUGCUGCAAUCAUUGAAGCAAGACUGAGUUGAACAUGUCAUUGAAUAUGUGAAGAGUGCUGGAGCAGUUGCAGCAAGACGGAGUUAAACAUGUCACAGAACAUGUGGAGAGUGCUGCAAUCAUUGCAGCAAGACUGAGUUGAACAUGUGGAGAGUUCUGCAGUCUGUUGUUGAAGCCUUUCAUGGCCAGAAUCACUGGCUUGCUGUGAGUCCCAGAAGCAUUCUCUCCUGACGUUUCACCCACAUCUAUGGCAGGCAUCCUCAGAGGUUGUGAGGCUCUGCAAUCACUGCGGCAAGACAGAGAUAAACAUGUCACUGUCUAUGUGGAGAGUUCUGCAGUCAUUGCAGCAAGACCGAAUUAAACAUGUCCCUGAACAUGUGAAGAAUGCUGGAGUCGUAUUGCGGCAAGACUACAAGUUGAGCAUGAAUGACCUCUGCUUCCCAAGCCAUAUCCAGAAGAUCUAUCACACCUCCAUGGAGAACUGGAUUGUCCAUUCAAAGUCCAUCUGCAAUUUUUCUUGCUAUAGGUAUGCAUAGGUGUGUACACCAACAUGGCUGGUCUCAUCAUCCUCAUCAUCAUCAUCUAGAGCCUGAGCUUACUUUUCCACUUGGUCAGAAUGGCUGUCCGGAUGAGACAUGCUCUCUUCCUCCAUGCGCUCCAUGCACACCAGCUGCCACUUUUGGCCUUGCCCUCGGCCAAGAGUCACAUCUGCUUCGGGGAACCAGGUUCAAGCUCUGAAGUGGCCUCUUUCCCAGUCACGGAUUUUGGCCGAUUCCUGGUCACCCAAAGAUCUUUUGGAUUGGUCGGGACAACCUGGCUCUCCAAAUGGCCCGAGUCCCCCCUUCGUUGCUUCCAACGGAGAUAAGUGCUGGAGCCAUCGCUUGCCUUGGCGGGUGCCGUUCCCCGGCUGCUAGUCAGCCAGGCAGCCAGAUGGACGCUCCAGACACCAGCUUCUCCUUCCACUGCAUUUUGGAACAUGGAAUGCUUUUGUUGCGGAGGAGAGGAGGAGAGGGAGGAAGAAAGAGGGAAGGAAAGAAAGAACGAAAGAAGGGAGGAAAGAGGAUAUGUGUGCAUGUACACUAUAGAAUGGAUGCAGCUUGACACCACUUCAACCUCUAUGGUUCAGUGGAACCUUGGGAGUUAUAGAUUUGCAAGGUCUUUAGCCUUCUCUACCAAAGAGUUCAAACUACACCUCUCAUCUGCACAUCUCAUUGCAUUGAGCCACAAUGGUUAAAGCGGUGUCAAACUGCAUCAAUUUGACAGUAGAUGCACCCCAUAGAUGCACCUAUGACUAGAGCAUCAUACAGGAGACCAGAGUAAGGAUAAACAGUUUAUUGUAAAAACACUCAAAAGAUAUAUAGUAAAAAAACAAGGCUACAGAAAGGAGGGGUAGAAUCCAAAAAGUCAGCAAUCAAAUGUCUCUUGUAAAUCCAAAAACACAGCAAUUCCAGAAUAGUCCCAAACUUGAGUCCAUAAACAAAACUGGAACAAGGAUACGCAACAUGAACAUGGAAACACUUCUAGAAUACUUGAAUCCCAAAACCAAGACGAGAACAAGAGAACAUAGGCCUGGCUGUAACUUGAAAGCCACGUUGCCUGAACUGAAGAGCAAAGUGCGCAUUAGCUCCUAAUAUACAGACAUGAAAGCAUUACGUCUUGUCAGAAAUAUUAGAACAUGGAAACACUCCCAGAAUACUUGGAUCCCAAAACCAAGAUGAGAACAAGAGAACCCAGGCCUGGCCGUAACUUGAAAGCCACGUUGCCUGAACUGAAGAGCAAAGAGCCCAUUCACUCCUAAUAUACAGACAUGAAAGUGUUAUGUCUCCCCUGAAACUUUUGCUUCCCACCAAGACAUGUUGAACUACGAUGCUGGCAACCUGCUCAAAUUUGCAGGCAAGACUCUUGGCUUAGGUCAGUGUCACCAGGUGUGUUCCUAUGAGAAUUUCUCAUCAAUUCAUCUUCGUUAGACUCCUUAUCUGGUUUCUGACUCCCGUGACUGGCCUUGAAGGCCUCGAGGAUCAGAGGCAUUUACAUUUUCAGUCCAAUCUGUGUCUGUGUCUAAAGCAGUUUAACUUUCUGGCUCUGCAUGAGAAUGGAUCCCAGGAAAGCCCACAAUCCCACCUGACUCUAAAUCAUCAGUGAACCCAUCAUCCCCUGCCUGUUGUGACUACUGCUGGGUUACAACACCUGGAAAAGCUUUAGAAUAAAUCCAAAAGUCCAUAAGCAAAAUUUGAACAGCGAUACACAACAAGAACAUGGAAACACUUCCAGAAUACUUGAAUCCCAAAACCAAAGUCCUGACUGUAACGAAAAGCCAAGUUGCCCGAACUGAAGAGCAAAGAGCCGGUUAGUUCCUAAUAUACAGACAUGAAAGCGUUACGUCUCCCCUGGAACUUUUGCUUCCCACCAAGUCUUGUUGACCUGUGUCUAGAGCAGUUUCACUUUCAGGAUCUGCAUGAGAAUGAAUCCCAGGAAAGCCCACAAUCCCACAUCAGUGAACCUAUCAUCCCCUGCUUACUGUGACUGCUGCUGGGCUACAAUACCUGCAAAGGCCUAGGAAUAUAUCUGCGACCUUUUUGCAUUGAGGAUCUUUCCCGCAGAGUCUCCGUUCUUUGCCUUUCCGUUAAUGAGCAAGCCAAGACUUAGGAGGAAAAUCAAGGGAAGGAAAAUAAUAAAAUCCAGGGUCAGGAGCUGCGGCGCCCUCGGGUGAAAUUGAAAAUGGCAGCCUUUCGUCAAUUAAAUGGCGUUCUCCCCCAAGACCCAACUGCACUCCAAUGUUGCCCUGAAUUAGUCAGGCAACGCAUUUGCAAAAGGAAUCAUAAUGUUAAUUAGUUUUGAUAAGUUCUCCAAACAGCUGCAGAUGGCAAGUCUCGUUCCCUUUCUGGCUUGCAUCAGGCGAGAGCUGGAGAGGUCUGGAGGGGUAGGCAGAGUUUGGAAGUGCUUUUGGUCUUGGUUGUCCAGCCAUGUUCCAGAAGCAUUCUCUCCUGACGUUUUGCCCCCAUCUAUGGCAGGCAUCCUCGGAGGUUGUGAAGUCCAGGAAACUAGGCAAGUGGGGUUUAUAUAUCUCCAGGUUGGGAGAAACAACUCUUGUCUGCCUGAGGCGGAUACGAAUGUUGCCUUUGGCCACCUUGAAUAUCAUUGAAUGGCCUUGCAGCUUCAAAGCCUGGCUGCUUCCUACCUGGGGAGGAAUCCUUUGUUGGGAGGUGUUAGCUGGCCCUGAUGAUUUCCUGUCUGUAAUUCCCCUGUUGUCUGAGUGUUGCUCUUUAUUUACUCUCCUGAUUUAAGUAUUUU